ACCCCGAAGUGGGUCUUAGCCUCCGACAA
rnacentral:sRNA from 1 species